rnacentral:lncRNA from 1 species
GCAAAUAGCCCCAAGACCCUUGGCUUUGUUCUUACAGGCAAAAAACUAAAACAUGGUACAAAGGGAGAGAAAGAGACCUGGAAACACAGCCUGUCUAAUGCUGAGGCAGCCUUGGUGAAAAGGCUGCACAGCAUUGGUGAGGGAUGGAAGACAAACUGGAUGCAUUAUUGGAUAUCAAAAGUGCAAUGCUGGAGCCUUGGUCUACAGGAACGGAAACAAGACUUGCCUGGCAUGGAGACAUUAUCCCUCCAAAAAACCAUCUAAACUGACCAACACCCUGGAAUUCACCGGGAGAAGAUCCAUUCUGUGGUACUGCAGUAAAUGAUUCCCAUUCAACGCUGGG